GGGGGCUUCUCCUUGAGUAACCAAUAUAGAUGGGUAACUAGGAACUAAUAUCUUAACCGUACAUUACUUAACCAAAUGAGCGGAUGUGAUCAUACAGAUAUAUACUACUGUAUCUUAUCCUAGGGCUCAUCUUAUCCAAUCCUAUCCACUAGCCACACCAUAAACCGUUAAACAGUUAUCAUGACUCUUUUCUGCUUAUUACGUGCAUAAUUCAAAAUAUUGUUCUGUAUUUUGUAAAUCUAUUCUAUUAAAUAUUUUCUUUUAAAUAUAUUUUGUAUUACAAUUUUAAUUCAGUUUCGUAAAUUUUAAACAUAAUUAUUUUGUAAAUCUCAUAUAUACAUUUAAAUUUUUAUGAAAAAUAUAGAACGUAGCUUAAUAGAAAAUACCAUAAAAUAUGGAAUAUAAGAAGAAUUAUUUUCUUAUGAAUUUUUUUAUAUAUAUANUAUGGAAUAUAAGAAGAAUUAUUUUCUUAUGAAUUUUUUUAUAUAUAUAAAAAAACUUAUAUUUUCAUAUAAUUUUUAUUUAAUGAAAAAUAACAUGUAAUAUUUUUUAUUUUAAAAUUUUAG
rnacentral:lncRNA from 1 species